UACGAGGGGGGCGAGCGUUGUUCGGAAUUACUGGGCGUAAAGGGCUCGUAGGCGGCCAACUAAGUCAUACGUGAAAUCCCUCGGCUUAACCGGGGAACUGCGUCUGAUACUGGAUGGCUUGAGUUCGGGAGAGGGAUGCGGAAUUCCAGGUGUAGCGGUGAAAUGCGUAGAUAUCUGGAGGAACACCGGUGGCGAAAGCGCUCGACUGGACCUCUUCUGACGCUGAGGCGCGAAAGCUAGGGGAGCAAACAGG
rnacentral:rRNA from 1 species